AACGAAGCUAGCCCGUGACCUAAUCCGCCACCAACCGCAGACGCCUCCGCCUCUCCUGCCGCCGCCGCCUCCUCCUCUCCUGCUGCCGCCGCCUCCUCCUCUCCUGCUGCCGCCGCCUCCUCUCCUCCACUUCUCUCCUCCUCCCGUCGAAGACCUAGCGCGUGGUCGUUGUUGCCACUCGCCCCUCUCCUGCUCCCGCGUCUUCGACCCCACCCUCGCCAGCUCCCGAUGCUCUGUCGAGUGGAGAAGAGGGGUGCGGCAGAGAAGGAGACCAGAGGAUGGCGAUGGGGGAAGGAGCAGCAGGGUUGGAGCACCCUGGCCAUCGUACCCAUCCCCAACGCCUCACCCGCUUCCUCCGCACCUCGCCCCGUUCCCCUCCUUCCCUGCUCUCCACUACGCCUCCUCCUCUCCUUCAGUUUUCUCUUCGAUGACGCUGCCAAAGAAAGUGCACACGAGCGGUGGAUCCGUGCCAGAGAAGGGUGGCGGUGACUUCGCUCCGGUCAUGGUGGGGUGCAGCCGCCGGGAAGAUAAAGGUGGGGACUUGUUGGUGAGCUGCUACUACAUCGACUGCGGCAUGAACGAGUUCGCAAUAUUGCCGGCGCAGUCUCUUGUGUUCCUACUCCACGGCUGUAUUCCAACACCCCUUCAGACUUUCAUUUCAAGCUUGAAAGUCUAGCACAAGAAUUCGGCUCCCUGUCUGAAUUCGCGGAGCAUCUUGCUGCCAACGUUGACAUUGUCUUCCCAGUGAUACAUGGGAAAUUUGGUGAACAUGGUGGUAUUCAGGUUCGGAGUUACCAACGAAUAUUAAAUAUGCUUUACAUGCAAGAGAAAAUUAUGCUGGUGCCAUAGUGCAUGCUUGCAGGUAUUAGUGCGCUUGAUUUGGCACGGAACUGGCAUGUAAUGCUGACUGUGUCUUGGUUCUUUUAUAAGAAUCCCACAUUGCUGCUGCUUUCUGUUGAUGAUAAGACGCUAACACCUACCAAAUGGCUGCGCUCCGGUCGUGCAGGGGUGCAGCCGCCGGGAAGAUAAAGUAGGUCUGCCGCCCGUCUCUACCUCUCACCGCGCCCUUACUGCCUCCAUGGCCAAGCGCAUGUUUUUUUCUGUGUCCCUCCAUAGCGCUCGUUACCGGCGGGAUACAUUUGACACUAUCUCAAAUCCAGUUUAUUUGACAUGUGUUUGAAAUGUAUAUUUAGCAUAAAGAUAAUACUGCAUUUCCUUAGGGACCUUAGUUUUGGCUCUGUUCUUGCUCAUAUUAUAAGUAAAAUAUUAAUACUUUGUGUCUCCAGCCAGUUCUUGAUCAAAGGAAGAUGCAUUAACAAUUCGUGUCUCCAACCAGUUUAGAUCAUAGGAAACUAUGGCAUAAUGCACUGCUGAAUUUUCUUGUUAGUGCUCACUGACAAUAUUUGUUCUCACGUACGGUAAUGCCUUUCGGUUAAACUAGGAAUUAGUUCAUUAUUGAAAGGUUUCAUCUGCAUAUUUUUUUGCUUCAUUCAUUUUUGGUCUAUUUAUUUUGCAUAGAAAACCAUCUUUGGUAUGCUUUAAUAGGGCUUAUUUAAUACAGUACAAGCAAAAUUGGAAGUAAUAGCAAACCAGCCAUGAAAAGUUUGAGAGACCAUGCAAACCACAAGAAAUGAUGUGCUCCUGUUAUUUUGCCAUGAUCUUGUGGCCCAGUUCCAAGGCUCUAUAAACUAAUGUUAGCUACUUGCUUCUUUGGAUGCCUUAAUUAGAGCCAGCGAGGAAGAUGGGGAAGACAGAGCCAGCAAGGAAGAUGGCUCGGCCCUGCCGCUGAUGCCCACCGGCCACUUCCGUCAGGCUCCGUCGUGGGAGGGGGCGCACCAUUUUUGGGUGUUCCUUUCCUACGAUCUGUUCAGGAACUGUAUCACAACAGAUCAUUGGCAUUGUAGCUUCAGUGGACAUGUAUGCUGAAUAUCCCCUCACUGGACAAUAUUGGAUUUUAGUGUAUACAAGCCCUCCUCUCAGCUGCUCAGGCAUAAACACCUUACUGCAAAUGUUCUUCGUGUCUCGCCUCCCCAUCGUGAUGGGUGGCUCCUACAGCUUCGCCAUGCCAACCAUCUCCAUCAUCUUGGCUGGACGCUACGACAUGUGGGAGAUCCUCACGAGUUUAACACAUAUUGGAGGGUGGGAGGAUAUACCGGUGCAAUGGAUGAACCAAGACUACCAAGAGGUCAAUUGCCUGAGUAUAUGCCAACUAUCUGAAUACAUAUGGCAUGAGACUGACGCCGAUUAGUUCCUCCCUGAAUGCUUGACUGCCGGAUCUUCUUUCAUCGGAAAUUGUUGUGCACUGAUAAUUUUGUUAGUUCUCACCCUCCCUAUUCAAACAGAAUUCAAGCAUAUUACGUGAUGUAUGUAUAUAAGAAGCUUAGUCGUGUGUCAGGCUUUGCAAAUAAAACUUAGAGCUCAAGUAGUUCAGAAUCAUACUGAAUAUCGUGUAUCAUGUAUCUAUAAUAACAAGCAUAACUGACUAUGAUUUUUUAGGAUAUUAUUUGCAGAUUUUAGGAAAGGAAACCUGACAGAGUUCCAGGGAAGUGGAGCGGUGAGACCAGAAGCUGGGUGAUCAAAGCAACUACAUGAUGCAUCUCUGUCUAUGUAGCUGUUUACCAUAAGCUGGGUGAUCAAAGCAAUCUACAUGAUGCAUCUCUGUCUAUGUAGUUGUUUACCAUAAGCUGGGUGAUCAAAGCAAUCUACAUGAUGCAUCUCUGUCUAUGUAGCUGUUUACCAUAAGCUGGGUGAUCAAAGCAAUCUACAUGAUGCAUCUCUGUCUAUGUAGCUGUUUACCAUAAGCUGGGUGAUCAAAACAAUCUACAUGAUGCAUCUCUAUCUAUGUAGCUUUACUUAGCAUAAACUGAUCUUAAUGACUUUGUUUAAACCUAUGAGCCUACCAUCUAUGUAGCUUCAUACCAUCUAUAUAAUGUGUCCCUUCCUAUCUACUUCCCUUGUGUAUCACAUUGUAACGAAGCAUUUAUUUACCAGCAGUAAAGACUUGGGUGUUUGAAUAUUCCCACAAUUCUUGGCUCCCUCUC